CGGCUAACUACGUGCCAGCAGCCGCGGUAAUACGUAGGCAGCAAGCGUUGUUCGGAAUUACUGGGCGUAAAGAGUGCGUAGGCGGUUUGGCAAGUUUGGUGUGAAAUCUCCCGGCUUAACUGGGAGGGUGCGCCGAAAACUGUCAGGCUAGAGUGUGGGAGAGGAAAGCGGAAUUCCUGGUGUAGCGGUGAAAUGCGUAGAUAUCAGGAGGAACACCUGGGGUGUAGACGGCUUUCUGGACCACUACUGACGCUGAGGCACGAAAGCGUGGGGAGCAAACAGGAUUAGAUACCCUGGUAGUCCACGCCCUAAACGAUGCAGACUUGGUGUUGGCCCUUCAUUGGGUCAGUGCCGAAGCUAACGCGGUAAGUCUGCCGCCUGGGGAGUACGGUCGCAAGGCUG
rnacentral:rRNA from 1 species